rnacentral:rRNA from 1 species
CCGCCAGGGAACUACGAGCUAAGCUUAAAACCCAAAGGACUUGACGGUACCCCAUAUCCCCCUAGAGGAGCCUGUCCUAUAAUCGAUAAUCCACGUUUAACCUCACCAUUUCUAGUUUCUCAGCCUGUAUACCUCCGUCGUCAGCUUACCACGUGAGCGUUAAUUAGUGAGCCUAAUGUUUUUCACCAACACGUCAGGUCAAGGUGCAGCAAAUGAAAUGGGAAGAGAUGGGCUACACUUUCUAUAUUAGAAGAAACGAAAAACUAUUUAUGAAAUCUAGUUGGAAGGCGGAUUUAGCAGUAAAAAGGAAUCAGAAUAUUCAUUUUAACCCGGCACUGGGGUGUGU